CUCAAGACCCAACGAAUUUAAAUAGAACAAGCGAAAACUGGGUUUUAAUUAAAACAAAGUAUAUGAUUGGAAAGUUAAGUUAACAAGAGUAAUGUGCCAUAUGUAAUAAGUCAAAUUAGAUAGCCAUUUUUGAACUUCAUUUCUGCUUAACACAACUGCUUCACAAUCUAAUACAUUUUCUUGUACCUCAAAUCUAGUUAACUAGAAAAGUCAGAAAACUAGCAAAGCGGUCAAUUCUUGCUAAAAAAAUCUUGAUUGUAAGCAACAUUUUGAGACUAACUAACAAAUUCAAGAAAUUGUCUGUGCUUCUAACGAAAGAGCACAAUGUAUUUACUUAGAAAUGAAUGAAUGAAUGGCUUUCCACGCAGCAGUUCCUUCUAAAUGGAAUUCUAUGAGCUUGCCCAGAAUGGCAAGGCAUCCAGGAGUCCCAUGAAGCGUGUGCCCCCUUGAUAAUCUGACCUGUGCAAAACGAUGGUUUGAUGGAUGCCACCUGCAUCAGUGUCAAAGUAUUGCAACUUCAAUAAUGCAAAUAAACCGUGAAAUGAUCCACUGUCAGAUGCAGCAGCAGAAGAUGCAGCCAUCCUUAUUCGCAUUCACAUUCGACCCCUGGACACAUCAACUAAUUUGACCCCGACAAUGGGGCAAUUUGCAUUCCUCCUUGUGACCUGGCAAAGGGCAAUUUAAUAAGCCCCAUAAGGAAAAGGGAUAACAAUGGGCGGAGGAAGAUGGAGAACAUGGAAGAUGGAGAUCCCGAUCCCUUGAGACUGCUAACAAACUUACUGUAAUAAUGCGCAAUAAUGACGAAGAUGAGAACGAACAGGGCGCCGGCGGAGAAGGCCCACUCCCAUGGACCAGGAGCAGGAGCAGGAGCAGGAGCAGGAUCUGGACCAGGACGAGGCAGGCCAAAGGGGCCAUUUGAUUUCCGCUCUAAGCGGAUGUCUCAUUUGAGUCCCAGUCGCAGCCAACAAGCCACCAACACAGCCGCAUUUUCUCGCAGUGUGGGCGAGUGUGCAUGUGUAAUUUUUACAAAUUGCUACAACGAGCCCCAAGCCAAGGCAAAUGGGGCCAGUUGAUUGUAUUUAAAGUUUCUUUUCUUUCUGCGCCAGAUAAAAUGGCAAAAUGGAGCGGGGUUUUUUGGUGGGGAAGACCGAAGUUGAGUUAACAACUUCUGGAUGCCCUUGCUCUUGCAGGACGUGAUAUGUCAGCUAGGAGCCUUCAAAAAUAAAACAAAAUGUAUCUCAAAUACAAAA